rnacentral:tRNA from 1 species
AGCCCGGUGGUGUAGCGGUCAAGCAUACGGGGCUUUGGACCCCGUGACGGGAGGUCGAAUCUCCCCCGGGCUACCA